rnacentral:rRNA from 1 species
CCUACGGGCGGCAGCAGUCGAGAAUCAUUCACAAUGGGGGAAACCCUGAUGGUGCGACGCCGCGUGGGGGAAUGAAGGUCUUCGGAUUGUAAACCCCUGUCAUGUGGGAGCAAAUUAAAAAGAUAGUACCACAAGAGGAAGAGACGGCUAACUCUGUGCCAGCAGCCGCGGUAAUACAGAGGUCUCAAGCGUUGUUCGGAAUCACUGGGCGUAAAGCGUGCGUAGGCUGUUUCGUAAGUCGUGUGUGAAAGGCGCGGGCUCAACCCGCGGACGGCACAUGAUACUGCGAGACUAGAGUAAUGGAGGGGGAACCGGAAUGCUCGGGGUAGCAGUGAAAUGCGGAGAUAUCGAGAGGAACACUCGUGGCGAAGGCGGGUUCCUGGACAUUAACUGACGCUGAGGCACGAAGGCCAGGGGAGCGAAAGGGAUUAGAUACCCCGAGUAGUC